rnacentral:rRNA from 1 species
CCUACGGGAGGCAGCAGUGGGGAAUAUUGCACAAUGGGGGAAACCCUGAUGCAGCGACGCCGCGUGAGGGAAGAAGGUUUUCGGAAUGUAAACCUCUAUCAGCAGGGAAGAACAUGCCGGUUCCUGAUCAAGAAGCACCGGCUAACUACGUGCCAGCAGCCGCGGUAAUACGGAGGGGGCAAGCGUUAUCCGGAUUGACUGGGUGUAAAGGGAGCGGAGACGGCAGUACAAGUAAGGAGUGAAAUGCCGGGGCUUAACCCCGGAACUGCUUUUGAAACUGGGCAGCGAGAGUGCAGGAGAGGUAAGUGGAAUUCCUAGUGUAGCGGUGAAAUGCGUAGAUAUUAGGAGGAACAUCAGUGGCGAAGGCGGCUUACUGGACUGUAACUGACGCUGAGGCUCGAAAGCGUGGGGAGCAAACAGGAUUAGAUACCCCAGUAGUC